rnacentral:rRNA from 1 species
UACGGAGGGGGCUAGCGUUGUUCGGAUUGACUGGGCGUAAAGGGCGCGUAGGCGGCUUGUACAGUCAGACGUGAAAUUCCUGGGCUCAACCUGGGGGCUGCGUUUGAUACGUAUGGGCUUGAGUUCGGAAGAGGGUCGUGGAAUUCCCAGUGUAGAGGUGAAAUUCGUAGAUAUUCGGCGGAACACCAGUGGCGAAGGCGACUCACUGGCCCGAUACUGACGCUGAGGCGCGAAAGCGUGGGGAGCAAACAGG